GUGAGCUGCAAGGAGGGGGCCCGGGAGUCGGCGGGUGGCAGGCAGGACUGAGGCUAGACCCACCAUCCUGACGCAACCCCCCGGUCCGCACCCCGAGAAGAGACAGUGAGAGUGGGUCAGCCCCUCUGAGAAGACGGUCCAUCCGGAGGGUCCACUGCCUCUAACCUCCCGACCUGGGGGAGAGGGCGGUGAGGAAGAGGAGAACAAACCAACACGUAACCUCAUUUUAGCCCCUCAAGGACACUGCAAGGGCAGCACUGACGCCAUUUUACAGAUGAGGAAACUGAGACCCAGAGAGGUGUGUCUGCAGAAGGCUCGCCCCAGUAAACCCGCAUGCAGUCCUCCAGUGCAGAGUCGCUUUCCAGGAACCCAUCUAAGGUUCUAGUCACAGACAGAGCCCAGUCUCAACACUGAGUGAGACCCAAGGCAGUUGAGGAGUUCCUGUUGUGGUGCAGUGGAAAUGAACCCGACUAGUAUCCAUGAGGACGCAGGCAGAACAAUUCAACCUUUCCAGGCCCAAUCCCAAAUCCUGCCCAACUUUGCACAGUCCAGCCUGGGAAGGCGCAGACACAGAAAGGACCCGUCUUUGAACAGAACUGGCCUUCCUUCCAGGGCAGCCAGCUGACAUUGACCAUGGGCUCCCUCACAGAUCAAAGUGCUAUUUUCAGAACAACGGGGAAAGAAUGCCAAAUACACCCCUCCCAAAAAAAAAACCAUGGAAUUAAGGGAAUUUCUGUUUUACAAGCCACCCGAGUCCUGACUAAGUAAGCUCAGGGCCAGCACCUUGUCCCAGAAGAACAGCUCUGAUAGGGGCUUUCGCCUGUGACAGCAACUUCUGGAGAACCGGUUUAGCCUGGGCUAUCUCCAGUCUCUGUUGACAUCACACCACAUAUCAGAGGGGACCUGGCCCUGACUCUGGCUCCAACAUGUCCUUCCAUGGCGACAUCUGAGUUUUGUCAAGACCCUACUACAUGGAAUCGUAGGAGGUGGGGGAGUUCCAGGGGGAGAAGCAGGUAAGUAAGGAGGGCAUCGUGGAAGAGGUGGCCCUGCUCAGAGGACGGACAGCAAGAACCCCUCAAGGCUGUAAUUAAGAAGACACAUAAUUGCAAGUGUUGGCAAGGAUCUGGAGAACUUGGCGCCCUCAUACCCUGCUGGUGGGAAUAUAAAAUGGCACAGAAAACAGUCUGGCACAUCCUCAAAAAGUUAAGGAGUUCCCGUCAUGGCGUAGGGGUUAACAAAUCCGACUAGGAACCACGAGGUUGCGGGUUCAAUCCCUGGCCUCGCUCAGUGGGUUAAGGAUCCAGCGUUGCUGUGAGCUGUGGUGUGGGUCGCAGACGUGGCUCGGAUCCUCUGUUGCUGUGGCUCUGGCGUAGGCCGGUGGCUACAGCUCCGAUGAGAACCCUAGCCUGGGAAUCUCCAUAUGCCAUGGGUGCGGCCCUAGAAAAGGCAAAAAGACAAAAAAAAUGCAAAAAAAAAAAAAAGUUGAACGUAGAGCUACCGUAUGACGCAGUUAUUCCACCCCUAGCUGUGUAUCCAAGAGAAAUGAAAACACAUGUUCACACAAAAACUUGUACAUGAAUCUUCACAGUAGUGUUUUUCAUAAUUGCCAAAAAAUAGAAACAGCCUAAAUGUCCACCAGCGGAUGAAUGGAUAAAUAAAAUGAGGUGUGUCCCAACAAUGGACUAUUGUUCCGCCAUAAGAGGAAUAUCUGCUACAACGUGAUUGAAACUGGAAAGUCUUUUUAUGUGAAAGAGUCCAGUCAGUCACUGGAGUUCCCCGGUGGUUCAGCGGGUUAAAGAUCCUGCAUUGUGGAGUUCCUGUCAAGGUUCAGUGGUUAAUGAACACAAGUAGCAUCCAUGCGGAUGCUGGUUUGAUCCUUGGCCUCGAUCAGUGGGUUAAGGAUCCGGCGUUGCCGUGAGCUGUAGUGUAGGUCGAAGACGCAACUUGGAUCCUGUGCUGCUGUGGCUGUGGCUGUGGUAUAGGCCAGUGGCUACAGCUCAGAUUGGACCCUAGCCUGGGAAACCUCCAUAUGCUGAGGAAGUGGCCCUAAAAAGACAAAAAAAAAAAAAAAAAAAAAAGAUCCUGCAUCGUCACUGCUGUAGCUUGGGUCGCUGCUGUGACAUGGGUUCAACCCCUGGCCUGGGAGCUUUUGUGUGCUGUGGGUAUGGCCAAAAAAAAGCCAGUCACAUAAGACCGUGUAUUAUAUGAUUCCAUUCAUCUGAAAUAUCAUGCACAGGCAAAAAAAUAGUGGUAGAAGGUAGAUUAGAGAUUGUCUGUAGCUGGGGGUGGGUGGCAGAAUUGGGGUGAAAAAAGGAAGUCAUGCUAAUGGGAAUUGGGGGGGUUGCAAAUCGAUUGUUGUGAUGGUUGCGUAAUUGUGUAAUUGUGAACACACAAAGAACUUGAAUUGGACACUUUAAAUGGGUGAAUUGUGUUGUGUGUGAAUGAUAUCUCUGAAUAGCCAUUACCAGAAAAGAAGAAGGAAAAAAGAAUACAUCUGGAGGUCGGGGAAGAGGGGCGGCCUGGGGAACCCCGGGAUGUCAGGGCCAACUGCCUGAUAAGCCUUGGAUUCCAAAACAAGUGAAAGGUAUUUGGGGCCUGAGAGUCCAGCCCUGGAUGAAUAGCCUCUCUGAUGAAAAAGGGGAGGAGUUCCCAUCGUGGCACAGCGGAAACGAAUCUGACUAAUAUCCACGAGGACACAGGUUAGAUCCUUGGCUUCACUCUGCAGGUGAAGGAUCUGGCAUAGCCAUGAGCUGUGGGAUAGUUUGCAGAUGUAGCUCGGAUCCCACAUUCCUGUGGCUGUGCUCUAGGCCAGCAGCUGUAGCUCCAAUUCGAUCCCUAGCCUAGGAACUUUCAUGUGCCACAGGUGUGGCCCUAAAAAGGAAAAAAAAAAAAAGAAAAAA
rnacentral:lncRNA from 1 species